UACAGAGGGUGCAAGCGUUGUUCGGAAUUAUUGGGCGUAAAGCGCGUGUAGGCGGCUUUGCAAGUCGGGUGUGAAAGCCCUCAGCUUAACUGAGGAAGUGCGCCCGAAACUGCAGAGCUUGAGUACCGGAGAGGAUGGCGGAAUUCCCCAAGUAGAGGUGAAAUUCGUAGAUAUGGGGAGGAACACCGGUGGCGAAGGCGGCCAUCUGGACGGAUACUGACGCUGAGGCACGAAAGCGUGGGGAGCAAACAGG
rnacentral:rRNA from 1 species